GACGUAGGGGGCAAGCGUUAUUCGGAAUCAUUGGGCGUAAAGCGCUCGUAGGCGGAUCGAACAGUCGGUGAAGAAAGACCUGGGCUCAACUCAGGGAACGGCACCGAUACUAUCGGUCUUGAGGCAAUCAGAGGAUGAUGGAAUUCCCGGUGUAGCGGUGAAAUGCGUAGAUAUCGUAAGGAAGACCAGUGGCGAAGGCGGGUCUCUGGACAGUUCCUGACACUGAGACACGAAGGCCAGGGGAGCGAACGGG
rnacentral:rRNA from 1 species